CCUGUGUUGGGCAAAGGCUCGGCACUCCACAGCCCCCAGCUCCCGCCACACAGAGCUCAGCCCUCACCGCAGCUGCUCACCGAGCUGUCCGCCCUGAAUGUGCUCCUCAACACAGAAGCCUGUUGGGCAAUUGGGGCGCUUUCACCUUCCGGCCUCAGGAUUUAACCUAAACCAGCUGCACCUCAGCCUUCAACACUGCGCUGGGGCAAGUGGAGCCCGACUGUGUGAAGGAUUUAAAGCGACCUUCUCAAUAAAACAUCUGUACUUUGCCAACGGCGUGGGGGUGAGAAGUGAGAGAGCACAAUGGAGAAGUCGUGACUGAAAAGCUGCGUGUGGAGCGGUCCCUGUCGCAGAGGGAGCUGGAAGCGGCUGCUGCAGCAGAGCCGGUGCCGCAGUGAGUCAGGGAGCCGAGCACAGCCCGGCCCGGUGAAUCACCCUGGGGAUGGGCUACGCCUGGAGAUCGCUGCACUCAGCGCUGCCGCUGAGGGACUUCGAGUUCCUAUUCAGCAGAACUGGAAGCCCCAGCUCCCGUCCCUACCUGCACAGCGGGUCCUCUCCGUUUGCCGAGAGAAAUCAGGGUUGGCUGCAGGAGAGCUCGGACUGGGAGUCUGGGAGGGUCUCUGCAGCAGCGAGUCUGAAGAGCUGCAGAUCUCCCCUUCUGCUAUGCGGAGACAGAUGGAACUGAUUGCUCAAGCAUCUUUGGCCUGGGAUGAUCUUUAAACAUCACAAAUAACAUGUUUUCUCUCUGAGUAGUAAAUCCAUGCCCCAGUAUAGUGAAAAAAAAACCGAACAAAAAACAAAACAAAACAUAAAAUCCUGAUUGAGUUACAUCUUCUGGAGCAUUAUGUUCUUCAGUCAGGCUAAUUUACUGCAUAUGAGUGUACAUUUUCAUAUUAUUGCCAGGAAUGUUUUGUAUGGUUGCUUAAAUAGCUUCUACACUUCAUACCAGGUCUAACUGUGCUUCAGUGGUGGGUAAAUAAUAACUUUGGAAUUCUUGCUGAUAGUUACCCUGACAUGCCAAAGUGACAGUAGUGGAUGUAAUAUUAUUGAACAAAUUCUGGACAUAUGGAUUAAUAUAUGUAAAUGGGUCUUGUUGAACACCUCUGCAGGAAUAUGUGUGCAUAUACAUAUACAUACACACUUUCAAAGGAAAAAAAAAAGGCAAUUAAGAAGCUAAUCUAAAAACAAGUAUGAUUUCCCAGGUAUUAGGCUUAUUUAUUGACCCCACCCAAUGCUGAGACAUGGUAAACAAAAAGCUUCAUUGCAGCUGUGUGCAUCCAGCUGUGGAAGCACAGAACUUCAGCUGCAAUGCAUGAAUGUGACUUUUUCUGUAUUGUACUGUUGAGAAAUUAUUUCCGUGCUGAAAAACAGAACUCUCUGUUGGUUUGUAUCAGAUCAAAUUAGAUCUGAUACAAGAACUAUUAUAAAAUGUUUUUCUGAAGAUUGUGACAUAAAAUCAUAGUUCUCCCACAUCCUUUUUGUUGGCUUACUAGUUUGCUUUCGUUCUCUUUCAGAGAAUUUUUAAGGCUGAGACCUUAGCACCUCUUCUCCAAGCAUUUGAACAAAUUCAGAGCAGUGUUGGUAAUCAGUCACUUUAGGAUGGCUUUGAGUAUUUUCACAGGUUUGGUUCCAGUAAUUUCUCUCAUCAUUCUGUGACAGAGAAAAAUUAAACAUAAGGUAGUAAAAGGGGUGUUAAUCUCCACUGGAUUCUGUUCUUGGAAAUGGAGGGGACUAAGAAGCAGAAAUGUAUGUUUGGUAUUUAAGCAAUGCUGUGGAACUACUCCUGGGUAUUGCAGCACUAUUGUGAGGCUACAUCCCCAGCAAGACAUCAGUUAUUCCCAGUGUUCGGCUUUGUAAAGCUAUGUUGUCAUUACAUAUAUAGGAGAUACAGGAUAAAGCAUUGAAACUCUAAGGAUCUCAGGAAAAAACUUCAGCUGAUGGUCUGUAGAUAUGGCAGUUGCUGAAAAUAAAUAAGGCAGUUGAAGCACUGGAUUUUAAAAUCUGGAUGCAAAAUCUGUGGAAAUACGAGCAGAAAAAAAAAAGGAGCCUCUUUUAUUUUCAAUGAAUGCUAACUCAUAGAUAAUUUGUUUUGCCCUAACCACUGGUUACAAGUUUCUCUGUCAUAAUGGGGAAUCUGUUCCAGUGCCCAACUACCCUCUGGAUUUUCCUAAUGUCCAUCCAAUCCGAAUGUACCUUGACACAGCUUCAUACCAUUAUGUAUUAUCAGGAGUUGUAGUUAUGUUCAAUAGGAUUAUUCAUUAGUUUUUUGCAUCACUUGCCAUCUAUUUGCAGAAAUAGAAGAAUUGUUUACAAAUAUUGUGGUUCAGGGCCUGAGUCCAUCUGAACAGGGGAAUUUAAAGAAAAAAAGGUAUUCAAUGUAGUUUCUGUAUGAAAAAGCAUUAUAAAUUAAUUACUCAGUAUCUAUCAAUUUAUGUGGGGUCUGAAUCAGAUGCAGAUCUCUCUCUUUACAUUCUCUCUGUGAACCUUUUUCACAGGCAUAAGCUACCAGUAGUGUGCCAUUACAGUGAGUUUCAAUAUUUUCUGUCUCUUUCUCUCAGCCUCCUGGCGUGGUCAGAGGGUUACUUUUAUCCACUGCUGUCCACUGGAACAUAAACAUGGCACCUUAGGCAAAGCAUUCUAUUUCUAUGCGAAAAUUAAAGAGCAAAAAUAUCUACACAGUGGCCUCAGCUUUUGUUGAUGACACAGAUCUUUUCCCUUGAUCCCUUUCCCUAAUGAGAAGUAAUGUUGCCAUCUGCUGGCAGAGGACGAGGACAGGCUACGUCUGGAGCUCUCUUCAUAAAGCUGAUGUGUUCCCUUGAUGAGUUACAAAUCCUUUCUUCCCCCCCUGUGUUUGAUUCAUUGAUCUUGGCCAUAUCUUUACCACACCGAUGCAAUUAUUUCUGUGUGAGGUCCAUUAUUUAUGAAGGUUUGAAUCAGAAAACCAUCUACAUAGAAAGUUUUCCUUUCAAGUAUCCAUUUGCCUUGUCUUAAUAAAGGAGUUUAAUAAAA